rnacentral:rRNA from 1 species
CCGUGCAAAGGUAGCAUAAUCAUUUGCCUUAUAAUUGAAGGCUAGUAUGAAUGGUUUGACGAGAAUUAAGCUGUCUCUUUUUAACUAAAUAUAACUUUAUUAAGAGGUGAAGAAGCCUGUAUUUUAUUGAAAGACAAGAAGACCCUAUCGAGCUUUAAAGAAUUUAGUAGAUUUACCAUAUAUUAAUAAAAAAGUAAAGCAACUAAAUAUUUUGGUUGGGGCGACUGAGGAACAAACAAAGCUUCCUUUAUGCUAAUUAAAACUUACAAGUAUUGAUCCAAUUUAUUUGAUUAAAGAAAUUAGUUACCGUAGGGAUAACAGCAUAAUCCCCUUUGAGAGUUCUUAUCGAAAAGGGGGUUUGUGACCUCGAUGUUGGACCAGAAUACCCAGAAGAUGCAGCCGUCUUCAAUGGUUGGUCUGUUCGACCAUUAAA